AUUGAACGCUGGCGGCAGGCCUAACACAUGCCAGUCGAGCGGAGGAAGGGAGCUUGCUCCUGGAUUCAGCGGCGGACGGGUGAGUAAUGCCUAGGAAUCUGCCUGGUAGUGGGGGAUAACGUCCGGAAACGGGCGCUAAUACCGCAUACGUCCUGAGGGAGAAAGUGGGGGAUCUUCGGACCUCACGCUAUCAGAGGAGCCUAGGUCGGAUUAGCUAGUUGGUGGGGUAAAGGCCUACCAAGGCGACGAUCCGUAACUGGUCUGAGAGGAUGAUCAGUCACACUGGAACUGAGACACGGUCCAGACUCCUACGGGAGGCAGCAGUGGGGAAUAUUGGACAAUGGGCGAAAGCCUGAUCCAGCCAUGCCGCGUGUGUGAAGAAGGUCUUCGGAUUGUAAAGCACUUUAAGUUGGGAGGAAGGGCAGUAAGUUAAUACCUUGCUGUUUUGACGUUACCAACAGAAUAAGCACCGGCUAACUUCGUG
rnacentral:rRNA from 1 species